rnacentral:rRNA from 1 species
UACGUAGGGACCGAGCGUUGUCCGGAAUCAUUGGGCGUAAAGAGCGUGUAGGCGGCUUGCUAAGUCUUGCGUGAAAUCUCGGGGCUCAACCCCGAGCGGUCGUGGGAAACUGGCAGGCUAGAGUGCGGGAGAGGAGAAUGGAAUUCCUGGUGUAGCGGUGAAAUGCGCAGAUAUCAGGAGGAACACCGGUGGCGAAGGCGGUUCUUUGGGCCUUACCUGACACUGAGGAGCGAAAGCGUGGGGAGCGAACAGG